rnacentral:rRNA from 1 species
CUUAGGACGAACGCUGGCGGCGUGCCUAAUACAUGCAAGUCGAACGGUCUUUCUAUGGAAGCUUGCUUCCGCUGAGAAGAUAGUGGCGAACGGGUGAGUAACACGUGGGUAACCUGCCCAUAAGAGGGGGAUAACAUCCGGAAACGGGUGCUAAUACCGCAUAGUUUUCUUGAUCGCAUGAUUGAGAAAGGAAAGACGGCCUUUGUGCUGUCGCUUAUGGAUGGACCCGCGGCGUAUUAGUUAGUUGGUGAGGUAAUGGCUCACCAAGACGAUGAUACGUAGCCGACCUGAGAGGGUGAUCGGCCACAUUGGGACUGAGACACGGCCCAAACUCCUACGGGAGGCAGCAGUAGGGAAUCUUCCGCAAUGGACGAAAGUCUGACGGAGCAACGCCGCGUGAGUGAAAGAAGGUUUUCGGAUCGUAAAACUCUGUUGUCAGAGAAGAACAAGUCGUAGAGUAACUGCUCCGGCCUUGACGGUAUCUGACCAGAAAGCCACGGCUAACUACGUGCCAGCCGCCGC